AACAGUAAAUAAAUACUAAUAGGUAAAUAGGAGGUGGUCUGCCAGAAACAUCAGAUACUGCAUCUGUAUUCUCAUGACAGGCUCGUUCUAAAGAAAGUAAGCUUUUAAAUGUGGGAAAUCUGUCACUUGGUCUGUAAAUAUAUCUUAAUACGAGUGACUAAUUCGCUCAUAGUGACCUAUCAAACUGGACCAUAUGUUGCUUUCUCCGGGGGAAAAAUAGAGCUUACAGCAAAUCCUGCCUUAUCCGUAGCAUUACAGGCUCUAAGAAAGGAUUUAGUCCUUACGUUUUGAUUAGAUAGAAUUUUCCUCAAGGACUAAAGCAGAAUACAGAGAACCCAGCAGACGGAGAGGGGCAGAAUAAAUAACCUCAUGGGGUGGACCUCUGGAUUUAAUAAUUCAACAAUUAUUACCGGGCAAUGAUACCAUAAGACAGUUCUAUUGUUAGAAGCAAUGGAUUAUCAAUCAGAAAAUAAUCCUGUUUUUUGCUUAUGUUCCAACUGAGCGGUCACAUUUUUUUAUUACAGGUUUCAGCCAGGGAUUGUACUCUGAAGGCAGUUUCAGCUCCUAUUAGGAGAACCUGCAAGAUCUUUUUAUUUUAUUUCAACUAGGACAGGGCGCAACCAUUUGGGCAGUUCUUAUUGUUUUAGUUUUUUCAAGUUUCCACCUAAGAAACGGUUUAUGUGCUUGCCUGGAAAAGGGAGCAGAAUUCAGAAGAACCAGCAAUCUUGCAGGAAUCCAAUGGGAAUAUUCCAUCUUCACAAACCACAUUCCAAGGGUUAUUAGAAGAAGGCUUCUUCUGUUGCAUCCAUGACUUUGAAAACUUGGCAUGUUUAUGGGUUAGGUUUCUUCAUCAUCUCAUCAUUGCUGUCCAUACGGGCAAACGGGCUGCAGUGCUAUGGCUGUAACAUUAUUGUUGGAAGGAAGUAUAUUAAUGUUGGAUGCACCAAUCCAGAGGUCAUUACAUGCUCUCAUUCACACAAGGGAUUCAAACACCGGUUCUGCAUUAAAACAGAGAGUGCAGCCCUGGGGAUUAUCCUGACCAGCGGAUGUGCCACGUCCCGGCAUUGCCACCAACAGGAGCUACCAGGCGUAAAGAUCCACUGCUGUGAUUCAGACCUUUGCAACAGCUCCCAUCGGCCCGAAGGCCGUCUCCUAACAUAUAUCUGUUUGCUUAUUAGUCUGACUCUGCUUCGGGUUCAGUUGUAACCUUUACACUAGAUUCUACCCAGCACCAACUUUGGCUUUACACACACCAUCCACAAUUGACUUUAAAUUAAAUGUAGAAGGAUUUUGACGUUUCAGUGACUAAUUAACUAAAAAAAACAUGGUAACGCAAGUGUUAUCUCAAAACUGUUCAAAUUAUAUUUAGGGUUUAGGUUUUUCUUUUCUGUAAACGAGACUGUUGAUUUUAGGUGGUUAGAGACACAUUAGGAUUAUUAAAUCAUUUUUCAGUUGAUGCAAGCUGCCAGAUCUCCUGCCAGGCUACCAAGAUGUAAUAUCUUUGACCUGGCUGGUUACCAAAGACAAAACAAUACCCAGGUUUCUAACAGGAGUCUGUAAAUACACAGAAAUACCAUUUCCUGUAGUGUUUGGUUUCUGCUUCCAUCCGUAGCAUAUCAUUUUGUCUAGUCUACUGUAUCAUAAAUCUUGUUGACAGUCCAGUUUGUUUGCAUUCCCCGAUGGUAGUUUUAGCUGUUUGGAGAUGUGUGUGUUACUUACAUACAUUUUAUGACUUGUAACAAAUAGAUGAAAUCUUUCUUAGGUUGGAAGAAAAAUGCUCACAAAAAUGUAUAGUGUGCAUAUAUAUUUAUAUAUGAUUAAUAUUAGCUCAAACAAAUUAAGCCAAAUUGGACUGCACAAGUAAAAAUGAUAUAUGUAUUAGUAAAA